UAUACAUGCAAGUUGAGCGCUGAAGGUUGGUACUUGUACCGACUGGAUGAGCAGCGAACGGGUGAGUAACGCGUGGGGAAUCUGCCUUUGAGCGGGGGACAACAUUUGGAAACGAAUGCUAAUACCGCAUAAAAACUUUAAACACAAGUUUUAAGUUUGAAAGAUGCAAUUGCAUCACUCAAAGAUGAUCCCGCGUUGUAUUAGCUAGUUGGUGAGGUAAAGGCUCACCAAGGCGAUGAUACAUAGCCGACCUGAGAGGGUGAUCGGCCACAUUGGGACUGAGACACGGCCCAAACUCCUACGGGAGGCAGCAGUAGGGAAUCUUCGGCAAUGGACGAAAGUCUGACCGAGCAACGCCGCGUGAGUGAAGAAGGUUUUCGGAUCGUAAAACUCUGUUGGUAGAGAAGAACGUUGGUGAGAGUGGAAAGCUCAUCAAGUGACGGUAACUACCCAGAAAGGGACGGCUAACUACGUGCCAGCAGCCGCGGUAAUACGUAGGUCCCGAGCGUUGUCCGGAUUUAUUGGGCGUAAAGCGAGCGCAGGUGGUUUAUUAAGUCUGGUGUAAAAGGCAGUGGCUCAACCAUUGUAUGCAUUGGAAACUGGUAGACUUGAGUGCAGGAGAGGAGAGUGGAAUUCCAUGUGUAGCGGUGAAAUGCGUAGAUAUAUGGAGGAACACCGGUGGCGAAAGCGGCUCUCUGGCCUGUAACUGACACUGAGGCUCGAAAGCGUGGGGAGCAAACAGGAUUAGAUACCCUGGUAGUCCACGCCGUAAACGAUGAGUGCUAGAUGUAGGGAGCUAUAAGUUCUCUGUAUCGCAGCUAACGCAAUAAGCACUCCGCC
rnacentral:rRNA from 1 species